AAAGGGAAGGGAUAUUUUCUUUCAAUAUGUAGAUACUUUGCUUUGGCUGUCAUGUGACUUUGCAGAUGAAUCGUCGUGCUGAUCAUGAAGGGCGAUCAAAGCAGUAUCAUCGUAUACUACUCAGAAACAGGAGAGCAAAGAUAAUAAUUUAGGAUACAAUGUUAGCAAGUCAUUCAGCGGAAAUGAUCCUUGUGACGUUUCAGAAUAUGUCGAUAUGUCAACUGCUGAUACUCCUAAUAAUGAGAAGGAAGUUUUCCGGAAUAGUACAACGUGUGGCCAUUGUCCGCUCAGCAGUGUAAUCCUUGAUAAGCAGUCAGGAAAAGGAAAGAAAGAAAUCAUCGAGCCUUAUUAUGAUUUGGUUUGACGUUCUAAAAUAACGAUACACAUAUCAUGAAAAAAUGUGCAAUUUUUAUCUUUUUUUUUUUAUUAUGUUUAUAUUUAUUUUAUUUUACUUUUCGCUGUUUUGCAUCUGUACUUUAAUGACUUUGUAUUCCAUGACAGACUCAAAUUCUGAAAAUGAUUUUUAGUGC